CAUGCAGUCGAGCGGUAGAGAGAAGCUUGCUUCUCUUGAGAGCGGCGGACGGGUGAGUAAUGCCUAGGAAUCUGCCUGGUAGUGGGGGAUAACGUUCGGAAACGGACGCUAAUACCGCAUACGUCCUACGGGAGAAAGCAGGGGACCUUCGGGCCUUGCGCUAUCAGAUGAGCCUAGGUCGGAUUAGCUAGUUGGUGAGGUAAUGGCUCACCAAGGCGACGAUCCGUAACUGGUCUGAGAGGAUGAUCAGUCACACUGGAACUGAGACACGGUCCAGACUCCUACGGGAGGCAGCAGUGGGGAAUAUUGGACAAUGGGCGAAAGCCUGAUCCAGCCAUGCCGCGUGUGUGAAGAAGGUCUUCGGAUUGUAAAGCACUUUAAGUUGGGAGGAAGGGCAGUUACCUAAUACGUGAUUGUUUUGACGUUACCGACAGAAUAAGCACCGGCUAACUCUGUGCCAGCAGCCGCGGUAAUACAGAGGGUGCAAGCGUUAAUCGGAAUUACUGGGCGUAAAGCGCGCGUAGGUGGUUAGUUAAGUUGGAUGUGAAAUCCCCGGGCUCAACCUGGGAACUGCAUUCAAAACUGACUGACUAGAGUAUGGUAGAGGGUGGUGGAAUUUCCUGUGUAGCGGUGAAAUGCGUAGAUAUAGGAAGGAACACCAGUGGCGAAGGCGACCACCUGGACUGAUACUGACACUGAGGUGCGAAAGCGUGGGGAGCAAACAGGAUUAGAUACCCUGGUAGUCCACGCCGUAAACGAUGUCAACUAGCCGUUGGGAGCCUUGAGCUCUUAGUGGCGCAGCUAACGCAUUAAGUUGACCGCCU
rnacentral:rRNA from 1 species